rnacentral:lncRNA from 1 species
GAAAGGGGGUCCAAGUUGCAGAAAAUUUGCAGAUGCAGAAGAAAAAGGCAUGGAUCCGGAUCGAUCAGCCUCUGAGAGAAUCCAGUUUCCCUCUGUUGAUGCAUCGAUUGAACUCUCAGGACAAAAUAAUGGCCUNCUCCAACCACAUUACCACUCAAUUAAAAUCAUAACUUAGUGCUAUUGGUGGGUUCUCAAUACUAAUUACAUUUUCGCUUUUGCAACGGUUCCUUAAGAAUCAACUAUUCCACUUGUGCGCAUGCAUCACAAUAUCUUCACAAAUUAAAACAAAAAACAAAAAAAACUCAUAACUUGGAAAAGAAAAAGAACACAAAUUAUGUCAAUUUCAGUUCAUCUUACAUGCCCCACCAAAGUUCCAAGUCCACGUCANAAUCCACUGUUUCACUUUAUGCAACGAUAUCAUCUACUUUUCUAGCGUGAAUAGUACCUUCUUUUCCCUCUUAAUUUACAGCUACUUUCGUAAAGAUUAACAAGCCAANGUAGCUAAAUUAGUCAAAUGUUUUUUAUUUUGGAAAAAGAAAAUCCCACUGGAUAUGGUGGUUUAGCUUCAAAAUGGGUAAAGUCUUUGUGAUCAGAAAAGUUUCCAAGACAUGGAAAACCCUUUUAAGUUACCGUUUGAUUAAUUAUUUGGCCCCUUUACGAUUGCUUCUUACUUUGGGUUUAAACUUUAAAGUUUAAACUUCCUUUUUGUGCUCACAAUCAUUCCAUGUAUCUGUAUUUAAGGUUCUUAUUACAAGACAACUCUUUUUUUUUUUAUAUUCAGAGAUGUGGCUAACUAUUGCGAACUACCUUCUAUUA